rnacentral:siRNA from 1 species
GUUUGUCAGUUGCUGAUGCACCUA